rnacentral:lncRNA from 1 species
GGACAUUUGAGUGACGUUGAGUCAUUUCAACCUAAUGAACUGAUUGGAAGCUGACUCGCCCCGAGACCUGCUCUCUUCCCAUGCGCCUGUUGGGUAACCACCAGAGAAGACUGCUCAGGCAUGAAUGUUCCAACAGAUGUCUUCUUUGCAUCUUUCCAGCUGUUCCGGGAGUCUUGGAUAGACCCCCCUACCAGCCAUUUGGUUCCCAAAGCCUCAUUUCGUUGGAACAUUCCAUUCCCUGUAGCAAUCGUCCUUUGUUUGUUGCGGCAUAACAAAUUACUUCACGAAUUUGAGGUUUAAAAACAACUAUUUAUUAUUUCUCAUGACUCUGCGGGUUGACUUGGCCUGUUUCCUGCUUUACAUUCGGCAUCUGUCGGGCAGAAAGAGUUGAGUCUCCAACACUGGCUCGCAUACAUGCCCCAUGCCUGGGUUGGGGGUGGCAGAAGAGGUGGCCUCCGCUGGGCUGCUGGCACACUUGGCCGUUCUCCCUGCUGCAUGCAGACCUAGGCCACCUCCUUCCCACAGCUCCUCCCUUCAUGGUGGCUCCAGUGUAAAUGGUGCUUUCGUUCCCAUGGCCCGCUGCUUCCCUGUGAGGCUUUCUUCGGUCCAUUGUCUCUUGGCCACCAAUAAAAGAAGCAACAGGCAAAGAAUGGGGCCUCAGAGACCUUUCCCGUCUCUGCUUUAGAUGUCCUCUAUGGUGUUUUGAAAACAGCUUGCAUCUUUCUCAGUGACUGAUAUUGGAGACAUUUUUGGUAGUCUUACCACUUCCUGAAGUGGGUGAGCAAAGGUGACAGGAGAGGGAAUGGGGAUGUAUGUGGGUGAAUUUGUUCAGAACUCUAAGAAAAGUGUUGAGGGCUUGGUUAUGAUUAGCAACUGCAUGAUACUUUUGGUAUUAUUGCUCUCCUUUUAGAUCUAAAAAUGUCAUCUGCUUACACAUCUUACUUUAAAAUUGAUAAAUCCCUUUAUCUUUAGCUUCCUAACAUGCCCUAAAGAUUGAAGAAAUAUUUUCAUUUUUAUUCAAUAAAUAAUAUUUCCCAAA